UACGUAGGGUGCAAGCGUUGUUCGGAAUUACUGGGCGUAAAGGGCGCGUAGGCGGCCUGUUAAGUCGAACGUGAAAUCCCCGGGCUCAACCCGGGAACUGCGUCCGAUACUGGCAGGCUUGAAUCCGGGAGAGGGAUGUGGAAUUCCAGGUGUAGCGGUGAAAUGCGUAGAUAUCUGGAGGAACACCGGUGGCGAAGGCGGCAUCCUGGACCGGUAUUGACGCUGAGGCGCGAAAGCCAGGGGAGCAAACGGG
rnacentral:rRNA from 1 species